rnacentral:lncRNA from 1 species
AGGGAGACCCAGGGAGGCUGCAAGUAAGGAGGGAGCAGAGACCUAGCCACCAGGCUUGCUGAUUGCAGGCUCAGACGCAGGCAGGAUCUGAAACAGCACAGUUCCGGGAUGAGGACCUCGUCUUUGGAUGCUUUUCUAAGGUUUUUCCUUCCCUGAAGAGCUAGCUGCUGCAGAGUCAGCAUCUCUGCCUUGCUGUGGCCCAGCCUUCAGGAUGGCGGUGAGAACUGGCGCUGGGAGCCUGCACUGAUCCUCGGCCUCACAUGCCUCACCCUCUCUGAACAUGUGCAGCAAGUAGGCUGUGAGCACACAAAGCCACACUGUUUCCAGGCUAUGGGCAGGAAAAGAAAGAAGACUUACCUAUGACCAUGUUCUUAAAAUGUGUUAAUGCAUCCACACUCCCAUAGGUGGGGUAUCGUAGAGGGGCGGGUGGGCGUUGGUGGGAGGGUCAACAGUGAGGAGCUUCUUGUUGGCUUUCUGACCCCAGCACUCCCCAGAGCUGCUUUGUCCUGUUCAGCUCUGCAGUCCUCUGCUGCUGUUAGUGAUUGAGACCAGAGUGGAUUCAGCCGUACUUUGUUCCCUUAAACACUCCAGAGGCGUCUGAACACCAAACUUGGAGCCCUGGAAGGAACAAUCCUAGACUUUGGGCUCGCCCAGAGUCAGCUCUUAACUGUAAUUACUUGCCUUUGUUUAAUAUAGAUGUUAGCUGGGUGUGGUGGUGCAUACUUUUAAUCCCAGCACCUGAGAGGCAGAGGCAGACAGAUCUCUGAAUUUGAGCCCAGGACUAUAUAGUGGGUUCCGGACACCCAGAGUUAUGGAGAGAGACUUUGUGCCAAAAAAAAACAAACCCUAAAAAGCGGGGUCUGGAAUGAUGGCUCAGCGGUUAAGAGCACUGGCUGCUCUUACAGAGGACCCUGGGAGGAUCCCCAGCGCCUACAUAUUUGCUCACAACCACGUGUACUUCCAGUUCUGUGGAAUCUGACGCUCUCUUCUGACUUCAUAGGUACCAGGCAUGCACAUGAUACACAUGUCCACAUGCAGACAAAACACUCACAAACAUGAAAUAACAAACCUAAAA